rnacentral:misc_RNA from 1 species
AGAGCAGGCAGCGCAGUUAGAAGGGCUUUAGCGCUGGAUAUUGCCAGUGAGAGUCUGACCUAGAAAUAAUUAAAGAUAAAAGGCAAGAACGCAGAGGAAAACUCCCGCAUCUCCAUCACCUUCUUCCGCCUGUUCCGGGUCAUGCGUCUGGUGAAGCUGCUGAGCCGUGGGGAGGGCAUCCGGACGCUGCUGUGGACCUUCAUCAAGUCCUUCCAGGCCCUGCCCUAUGUGGCCCUCCUGAUCGUGAUGCUGUUCUUCAUCUACGCGGUGAUCGGGAUGCAGGUGUUUGGGAAAAUUGCCCUGAAUGAUACCACAGAGAUCAACCGGAACAACAACUUUCAGACCUUCCCCCAGGCCGUGCUGCUCCUCUUCAGGUGUGCCACCGGGGAGGCCUGGCAGGACAUCAUGCUGGCCUGCAUGCCAGGCAAGAAGUGUGCCCCAGAGUCCGAGCCCAGCAACAGCACGGAGGGUGAAACACCCUGUGGUAGCAGCUUUGCUGUCUUCUACUUCAUCAGCUUCUACAUGCUCUGUGCCUUCCUGAUCAUCAACCUCUUUGUAGCUGUCAUCAUGGACAACUUUGACUACCUGACAAGGGACUGGUCCAUCCUUGGUCCCCACCACCUGGAUGAGUUUAAAAGAAUCUGGGCAGAGUAUGACCCUGAAGCCAAGGGUCGUAUCAAACACCUGGAUGUGGUGACCCUCCUCCGGCGGAUUCAGCCGCCACUAGGUUUUGGGAAGCUGUGCCCUCACCGCGUGGCUUGCAAACGCCUGGUCUCCAUGAACAUGCCUCUGAACAGCGACGGGACAGUCAUGUUCAAUGCCACCCUGUUUGCCCUGGUCAGGACGGCCCUGAGGAUCAAAACAGAAGGGAACCUAGAACAAGCCAAUGAGGAGCUGCGGGCGAUCAUCAAGAAGAUCUGGAAGCGGACCAGCAUGAAGCUGCUGGACCAGGUGGUGCCCCCUGCAGGUGAUGAUGAGGUCACCGUUGGCAAGUUCUACGCCACGUUCCUGAUCCAGGAGUACUUCCGGAAGUUCAAGAAGCGCAAAGAGCAGGGCCUUGUGGGCAAGCCCUCCCAGAGGAACGCGCUGUCUCUGCAGGCUGGCUUGCGCACACUGCAUGACAUCGGGCCUGAGAUCCGACGGGCCAUCUCUGGAGAUCUCACCGCUGAGGAGGAGCUGGACAAGGCCAUGAAGGAGGCUGUGUCCGCUGCUUCUGAAGAUGACAUCUUCAGGCAGAGGGCCGGAGCCUAGAGGCGGUGGCCCUUUGAGAUGGAGCAUAGCGUGUGUUCUCCAGGUCUCCAAGACCCCUCCAGAACUCCCCUUUCCCUCUCCUUUCCUGGAGACUGAAGCUGCCCAGCAGUUGCAAUAGUGAAAAUUAAAACGGCUGUACCA